rnacentral:lncRNA from 1 species
AAAGCACCUAUGGGGUGCUCCCGUGGGAGCACAGAAUUUUUUGCCAUGAAUAAAAGGCGCACCUUUCAAGUCUUCAGGCAUUCUGUAAUUCCAGGAAGUUGCGGCAAAAAUGGGGGACUCCAUUCAAAAUUUCGUUCGCUUCCUAGUUUUAAUUUGGGGGACAAGAGCUUUUUCUCUCUCUCUAAAAACCGAAUCUUUAGAGAGAGUUUUCAGUCAGG